GGUUAAGCGACUAAGCGUACACGGUGGAUGCCCUGGCAGUCAGAGGCGAUGAAGGGCGUGCUAAUCUGCGAUAAGCGCCGGUAAGGUGAUAUGAACCGUUAUAACCGGCGAUACCCGAAUGGGGAAACCCAGUGUGAUUCGUCACACUAUCAUUAACUGAAUCCAUAGGUUAAUGAGGCGAACCGGGGGAACUGAAACAUCUAAGUACCCCGAGGAAAAGAAAUCAACCGAGAUUCCCCCAGUAGCGGCGAGCGAACGGGGAGGAGCCCAGAGCCUGAAUCAGCAUGUGUGUUAGUGGAAGCGUCUGGAAAGGCGCGCGAUACAGGGUGACAGCCCCGUACACAAAAGCGCAUGUGCUGUGAGCUCGAUGAGUAGGGCGGGACACGUGGUAUCCUGUCUGAAUAUGGGGGGACCAUCCUCCAAGGCUAAAUACUCCUGACUGACCGAUAGUGAACCAGUACCGUGAGGGAAAGGCGAAAAGAACCCCGGCGAGGGGAGUGAAAAAGAACCUGAAACCGUGUACGUACAAGCAGUGGGAGCACAGGUUUACCUGUGUGACUGCGUACCUUUUGUAUAAUGGGUCAGCGACUUAUAUUCUGUAGCAAGGUUAACCGUAUAGGGGAGCCGUAGGGAAACCGAGUCUUAACCGGGCGUUAAGUUGCAGGGUAUAGACCCGAAACCCGGUGAUCUAGCCAUGGGCAGGUUGAAGGUUGGGUAACACUAACUGGAGGACCGAACCGACUAAUGUUGAAAAAUUAGCGGAUGACCUGUGGCUGGGGGUGAAAGGCCAAUCAAACCGGGAGAUAGCUGGUUCUCCCCGAAAGCUAUUUAGGUAGCGCCUCGUGAAUUCAUCUCCGGGGGUAGAGCACUGUUUCGGCUAGGGGGCCAUCCCGGCUUACCAACCCGAUGCAAACUGCGAAUACCGGAGAAUGUUAUCACGGGAGACACACGGCGGGUGCUAACGUCCGUCGUGAAGAGGGAAACAACCCAGACCGCCAGCUAAGGUCCCAAAGUCAUGGUUAAGUGGGAAACGAUGUGGGAAGGCCCAGACAGCCAGGAUGUUGGCUUAGAAGCAGCCAUCAUUUAAAGAAAGCGUAAUAGCUCACUGGUCGAGUCGGCCUGCGCGGAAGAUGUAACGGGGCUAAACCAUGCACCGAAGCUGCGGCAGCGAACGUAUCACCCAAGACAACUUUACGGAGUUGACGAUUGACGGAGCGAAGCGACGUCAAAGCGUUCAUUAAAGUCGAGUUGGCUUAGGGAUACGUUCGUUGGGUAGGGGAGCGUUCUGUAAGCCUGUGAAGGUGUGUCGUGAGGCAUGCUGGAGGUAUCAGAAGUGCGAAUGCUGACAUAAGUAACGAUAAAGCGGGUGAAAAGCCCGCUCGCCGGAAGACCAAGGGUUCCUGUCCAACGUUAAUCGGGGCAGGGUGAGUCGACCCCUAAGGCGAGGCCGAAAGGCGUAGUCGAUGGGAAACGGGUUAAUAUUCCCGUACUUGGUGUUACUGCGAAGGGGGGACGGAGAAGGCUAUGUUGGCCGGGCGACGGUUGUCCCGGUUUAAGCGUGUAGGUGUGUGUUCCAGGUAAAUCCGGUUCACUUUAACACUGAGGCGUGAUGACGAGGCACUACGGUGCUGAAGCAACAAAUGCCCUGCUUCCAGGAAAAGCCUCUAAGCAUCAGGUAACAUCAAAUCGUACCCCAAACCGACACAGGUGGUCAGGUAGAGAAUACCAAGGCGCUUGAGAGAACUCGGGUGAAGGAACUAGGCAAAAUGGUGCCGUAACUUCGGGAGAAGGCACGCUGACACGUAGGUGAAGUGAUUUACUCAUGGAGCUGAAGUCAGUCGAAGAUACCAGCUGGCUGCAACUGUUUAUUAAAAACACAGCACUGUGCAAACACGAAAGUGGACGUAUACGGUGUGACGCCUGCCCGGUGCCGGAAGGUUAAUUGAUGGGGUCAGCGCAAGCGAAGCUCCUGAUCGAAGCCCCGGUAAACGGCGGCCGUAACUAUAACGGUCCUAAGGUAGCGAAAUUCCUUGUCGGGUAAGUUCCGACCUGCACGAAUGGCGUAAUGAUGGCCAGGCUGUCUCCACCCGAGACUCAGUGAAAUUGAACUCGCUGUGAAGAUGCAGUGUACCCGCGGCAAGACGGAAAGACCCCGUGAACCUUUACUAUAGCUUGACACUGAACAUUGAGCCUUGAUGUGUAGGAUAGGUGGGAGGCUUUGAAGCGUGGACGCCAGUCUGCGUGGAGCCGACCUUGAAAUACCACCCUUUAAUGUUUGAUGUUCUAACGUGGACCCGUGAUCCGGGUUGCGGACAGUGUCUGGUGGGUAGUUUGACUGGGGCGGUCUCCUCCUAAAGAGUAACGGAGGAGCACGAAGGUUGGCUAAUCCUGGUCGGACAUCAGGAGGUUAGUGCAAUGGCAUAAGCCAGCUUGACUGCGAGCGUGACGGCGCGAGCAGGUGCGAAAGCAGGUCAUAGUGAUCCGGUGGUUCUGAAUGGAAGGGCCAUCGCUCAACGGAUAAAAGGUACUCCGGGGAUAACAGGCUGAUACCGCCCAAGAGUUCAUAUCGACGGCGGUGUUUGGCACCUCGAUGUCGGCUCAUCACAUCCUGGGGCUGAAGUAGGUCCCAAGGGUAUGGCUGUUCGCCAUUUAAAGUGGUACGCGAGCUGGGUUUAGAACGUCGUGAGACAGUUCGGUCCCUAUCUGCCGUGGGCGCUGGAGAACUGAGGGGGGCUGCUCCUAGUACGAGAGGACCGGAGUGGACGCAUCACUGGUGUUCGGGUUGUCAUGCCAAUGGCACUGCCCGGUAGCUAAAUGCGGAAGAGAUAAGUGCUGAAAGCAUCUAAGCACGAAACUUGCCCCGAGAUGAGUUCUCCCUGAGACUUAAAGUCUCCUGAAGGAACGUUGAAGACGACGACGUUGAUAGGCCGGGUGUGUAAGCGCAGCGAUGCGUUGAGCUAACCGGUACUAAUGAACCGUGAGGCUUAACCUU
rnacentral:rRNA from 1 species